AUGAGAAAUGAUCAACUUAACAUAAUUUGCUUUUAGCUGAUAUCAUCUUCAUAAUUUUAUAGGCUAAAGUCGAGUCUUCUAUGUUAGACCUGAGAGCUAUUUGCUUGUGUCCUUUGCAAAUAGAACACUGAAUUUGGGGAGAUAGCUCCCACUUUUUGAAUUGUGGAAAAGACGGAAAAUUGGAUUUGGCAGACAUCUUGGCAAAUAAUCUGCUUCUCAAGAAAAGGGACCUGGCGAUGUUCCUCAGAAAAUAGUCCAAGCUUCAUAGUGGGAGAAAAGGGAGGAUUGCUACACGCACAAGGAUCUUACAAAACCGUUACCAUCAAGGACUUCUCAAGACACCAAGUGUUGGAGUUGCCAGCAGUUAAUUCCACCCUUUCCAAGAAAGGUAUAAUGAUCCUGCUUUUGCCAAUUCAAACCAAGACAUUUGGGAGCUGGCAAAAAGCAAGACAGGAUUCCUGGGGAGAUGCUUCAGAUGUAGCCUAAAUACAGAUAAUCUGUGUCUUUGGGAAAGGCAGUGUCCUCUUAGCAGUAAGCACUUCGAUCACCAGCUGUCGAUGUGGGUCUCCUGAGGAGCUGGGGCCACCACAGGAAGUGAUGUCCUCUAUUAUGUAGCCAAGGGAAUCCUUGUCGUCAUUUUCUCCACUCUCUUCUCUUCCAACAUAGGAUAUCAUAGGUAAGAUCCUCAAGAUCCUGCCCUUUCUUCCACUUCCCACAUUUAUGAAGUGAAAUUCCCAUCUGGCAGCUAGUCACAACAAAUAUUGACUAGAUGCUUCUGUGACAGCCUCAGGAAGUUCUCUGGGCAAGCCUUGCAUUUGGUUGGUUUUCUUUGCCUUCUGCUCUGUGAUUAUUUCCCAUAAGGAUUUUGGGAGAAUUGGAGAGGAACCAUCUGACCUGAUUGUUUUUAGGUGAUUAAAAAUGGGGACUGAGGGUGUCAAGCUUUUCAUGUAGCAGAUAAUAUCCUCUGACUCUGGAAUUACUUUAAUUAAAAAACCAUGACUUCAGUGACGCCGUCAUAAUAUCCACAAGAAUGGUAAGAAAAUAAAACAAACCUGCAGUUCA
rnacentral:lncRNA from 1 species